rnacentral:lncRNA from 1 species
GGCGCGAGGUCUCCAUUUUUUUCAGAUGCUUUAAAGUGCAAAAUUAUUUAAAAAAAUCUUAAGACUGGAUCCUUACAAAAUGUUUCUCAUACUACUAGAUAUUAAAAAUUAUAUUUAUAUUUUUUUAUUAUUUAAUUAUAUUGGAGCUAAUUACUGUAUUCCAGAAAUGAUAAGUCAUCUACAUGAACUUUUGUCCAUCCGGCAG